GACUCGCACAGGUUUUCUUCAGCAUAUAUCUAAUUUCGACAUCUCAAGGCAGCGCUGAGGCGAAUUUCUAAUCAGAUGAUCAAAAUUCAACAUUUUCUUGUUACUUUUGCGGUUUUGCAAUUCAUCAUCAUAGUGAUGAAUAAUUAUAAGCAACGGCACGAAUUCAUCGGUGUAAGACAAUCGAUUACGAGAUUGCUUUAGACUUGAUAACAAACGUUGGAUUUUUAUUAUUAUUUAUUAGUAGUAGCCUACAACACGAAAAAAUGAGAAAAGUAUGAUCUUCAGAUACAGUUAGGAAUUAAUCAAGAUGGAUCAGUGAACAUCUGAACAAACGUUUGAUAUCGUGUAAAUUCUUUUUUUUUGUUUGCUUUAUUAAGAAGAUAAAGCAAGGCAGUGAAAAGUCAAUUGUGAGGGGAGGGACACGUAAAUUAAUUUUGGUGAGAUCAGAUGCAGUGGUGAUGUUUGUUGAGUGACUGAUGAGUGCAUCUUGAUGUGGAUAUGGGUAAAGUUACAAUAUUUUCACUAACUAUUCCCUUUAAAAUAACAUUUUUCCCACAAAAUGGAAAUACCUACUCCCUAACCAGCAACCGCAGCAACCAGCUAGCUUGUGAAUUUCGUUUUCCGCAAAAAAUUUUUUGUUGUUGAUGCAUUUGCAUUAUUCGAAGGGAAUAACGAGUUGGCAACCCUGUUGGUUUUCUUCUUAGUCAUACGACUCAGUCUCAAGUCGCAUUAACUAUUCAACCGUUGACAGAAUAUGUUGGAACUCUGUGGGCUGUUCAUGGUAGAUGAAAAAUGUUGACCAGUGAGUGAAAAAUCGCAUACUGUGUGCAGAUCAUGAGAUGUACCACACUGUGUUAUGGAAGUGCCGGGUAGUGCCCACUUUGCCAGUAGCCAUUAUUGUGUCCUGCAAACAAAGGUGCUGAAAGGUGGUUACAAGUUGCAUGACGUGUCUUCCGCGGUGUUUUACUGGAUCGCCCAACUUGGUGUUUGCGUAUAAGCCGGUCGGAGGCCUUCGUGAUUUGGUGUGGACUGGUUCGUAGUUGGACUACUUGGCGUGUCUUUGUAAAGGAUUCCGGUGCUAGAGGAUCUCGUAAAGUAAAGGCCUAACCAUUUAUGCUCGAUCACAUUAUUCGUUUCAGUGAUCGAUCACCUCGGUUUGAUACAUGUGGUCGCUGCGAUUGGAGUUCACUAAUCAUUGUAUGUUCUUAAGGGUGUUGGUGUUAUUCUGCUGUCCGAUGUUCUCUCGCGAUACGUAAAUCGAUAUAUCUACCAUGCCUGAUGUAUGAUCGUGUAUUGCGGUUUCGUGGACGUAAAUGGUAAACAAGUAUUUUUUGACAACCAUUUUUAAAAAAUUGUGUGGACCUUUUUCCAGAUAUCUUUUGUUUAAAAAUGUAUGCUAAGACUGCUGUACAUUUAGCCACAACGUCGUCUCUUCUCUCUUGCUAUACAUGAACAUCUGCUGCGCCACCAACCAAAUAUAGGAUUACCAGGCAGAUGAGAAGCUGAGCUUAUUCGUAGCAGUCCAAUUUGCGUAUGGAUUUGUUGAAGCCGGCCAGUGAAAACUCUGAUAUUGAGCUGUUGCAGUCGUUAGUUCUGGUGUUAUCCUGAAGGGCUAAAGAGCUCUAUUCUUCAUGUCUUACGGGAGUGAUCAUGUCUGAAUCGAUGUGUGAUUUUAAUGAUGUAGAAGUUAAGCCUGAAAAAUGCAGACCAGGAGAAGGAUAUUUAAUUGUGGGGAUUUUAAAAUCUCUUGAAGCCAUUCAGGAUGGUGGUGAUUGACAAAGGAGCUAUAACCUACAAGACGUAAACUUAAGGAAAUUGCUACCGGAAUUCUCCACAAACGGUAAUUUUUUAAGGGAUUGUUAGUUUUACUUAAUAGUAAUUAAUGUUUCUUAAAUUAUUCAAUCUCUUAAACAUACCUUUUCUUGUUUGGAAUAUUUAAUCAAUUAACUGCUUUUGAUUCAUUGAAAUUAUAAUUCCGAUAAGAAGUUUUUAAACUUUAGCUAAAAGCAUCUGAAAUAUUCCUGCUGGUUUCUUUGACAAAUAUGUAUGCCUGCAAAUAUAUAAAAUGUUUUUCUUUAA